rnacentral:piRNA from 1 species
UGGAACGUCAAUUGGAGGCUGCACGGUA